UACGUAGGGGGCGAGCGUUGUCCGGAUUUAUUGGGCGUAAAGAGCUCGUAGGCGGUUCGAUAAGUCGGACGUGAAAUCUCCACGCUCAACGUGGAGGGGCCGUUCGAUACUGUCGUGACUCGAGUCCGGUAGGGGAGUGUGGAAUUCCCGGUGUAGCGGUGAAAUUCGUAGAUAUCGGGAGGAACACCAGUGGCGAAGGCGGCUAUCUGGACGAACACUGACGCUGAAGUUCGAAAGCGUGGGGAGCAAACAGG
rnacentral:rRNA from 1 species